CUCAGCAAAGUAUGGGUUUGGUUUUUUUUUUUAAUCACAGGUUCCUCACGAAGAGAUGCACUGCUGAAGACUUUCAUUACACUGCUGGAUAACAAAAAGAGAUGUUGAGCCUAUAGUACUAUGAUAUUUACAUGCAAUCCCAGCAAAUGAGGUAGGAAUGGCAGGAGAUUUAGUUAAAGAACAAGGAAAAAGAAAGUAACGUUUGGCAGCAAAUCAUCCAAGCAGUGUUUAUCAUCAGUAAUUUAUUACUCAAAAGGAAGAGAAUGUAAACAAUGUAUUUGAUUUACCUGACCAGAGUCUUUCCUUAAAUUGUAACAAAUCUGUGCAUUUACUGUUUGAACUAUAAAUAAAAGGAAAUUUAAACUAUA